rnacentral:rRNA from 1 species
GUAGGUGGCAAGCGUUGUCCGGAACUAUUGGGCGUAAAGCGCGCGCAGGCGGUUCGUUUAAGUCUGAUGUGAAAGCCCACGGGCUCAACCGUGGAGGGUCAUUGGAAACUGGAGAACUUGAGUACAGAAGAGGAAAGCGGAAUUCCACGUGUAGCGGUGAAAUGCGUAGAGAUGUGGAGGAACACCAGUGGCGAAGGCGGCUUUCUGGUCUGUAACUGACGCUGAGGCGCGAAAGCGUGGGGAGCAAACAGGAUUAGAUACCCUGGUAGUCCACGCCGUAAACGAUGAGUGCUAAGUGUUAGGGGGUUUCCGCCCCUUAGUGCUGCAGCUAACGCAUUAAGCACUCCGCCUGGGGAGUACGGCCGCAAAGGCUG